rnacentral:rRNA from 1 species
UACAGAGGGUGCAAGCGUUAAUCGGAAUUACUGGGCGUAAAGAGCUCGUAGGUGGUCUGUCACGUCGGAUGUGAAAACUCGGGGCUCAACCCCGAGCCUGCAUUCGAUACGGGCAGACUAGAGUUCGGUAGGGGAGACUGGAAUUCCUGGUGUAGCGGUGAAAUGCGCAGAUAUCAGGAGGAACACCGGUGGCGAAGGCGGGUCUCUGGGCCGAUACUGACGCUGAGGAGCGAAAGCGUGGGGAGCGAACAGG